rnacentral:rRNA from 1 species
CCUACGGGAGGCAGCAGUGAGGAAUAUUGGUCAAUGGACGAGAGUCUGAACCAGCCAAGUAGCGUGAAGGAUGACUGCCCUAUGGGUUGUAAACUUCUUUUAUAUGGGAAUAAAAUGUUCCACGUGUGGGAUUUUGUAUGUACCAUAUGAAUAAGGAUCGGCUAACUCCGUGCCAGCAGCCGCGGUAAUACGGAGGAUCCGAGCGUUAUCCGGAGUUAUUGGGUUUAAAGGGAGCGUAGGUGGAUUGUUAAGUCAGUUGUGAAAGUUUGCGGCUCAACCGUAAAAUUGCAGUUGAAACUGGCAGUCUUGAGUACAGUAGAGGUGGGCGGAAUUCGUGGUGUAGCGGUGAAAUGCUUAGAUAUCACGAAGAACUCCGAUUGCGAAGGCAGUUCACUGGACUGCAACUGACACUGAGGCUCGAAAGUGUGGGUAUCAAACAGGAUUAGAUACCCCUGUAGUC